rnacentral:snoRNA from 1 species
GUGCACUGUCUUUGAACCUUUUAGGUCCUCCUUAAUGACCUUUUGGGCCAAGCUACAGUGCUAUAGCAAAGGCUUGUUCAUAACUGGAGCAUUCUGGUUGUACCACUAGAGUGCUCUUUUAAAAGCAAGUUACAUCU